CGACCUACCUCCAUCCCGGCGCGCCGCCCCUCACCACUCCCCUGCGGUCCUCUGUCCCGGUGCGCUGUCCCUCACCACCCCCUGUGAUCCUUUGUCCCGGCGCGCUGUCCCUCAUCACCACUCUUGUGCGACCCUGCAUCCAGGCGCGCCGCCCCUCGUCACCGCUCCCCUGAGACCAACGACGGAUCCAAGGUAUGGACACGCACACCAAGCCUGCCACCAAGUUUGAGAUUUUUUUUGACAAGCACACGCAACCGUAUCACUCGUUCCAUCCAGCAACAGUAGCAGCCGUGCCGGCCACUGGCGGAUCCAUGUUAGGUCGUGGGUGUACAUUUGUACAGCCAAUUUAUUUUGCAGGUAUAGUAGACAUAUGUAUUAAUAGCAGUGUCAGUGUUGUUUGAGCAAGGAACAUCACGUCAAUUCAUAUAACCUGGGCCUCAAACUCUACUCCAACAAGCAUCUUAGUUUAAAAGUAUCUCCUGCAAUUCCCAGUUGGUCCAUCGCCACUAGCUUGAUUCCCUUACGUUGAGCCCCAAAGCCUAAUACAAGGGUUGGUGUUGCUAGCUUCAUCACCUUGCUGGUACAGAAGGUCAUGAUUAACAUCAAGCCAUACACGGUGAUGUUACUGACAUUACUUUACACUCCUGUUCUGAAGGAAAGGAGUUCUGCAGCCAACAGGGCCUUUGCGUCUUCUUGUGCUGCAGUUCUCAAAUAUGCCAGCCAAUCUCAGGCUUAGAAACUUAUUAAAGACACCGCUUCUCUGCAUUUAGGUGAAAAACUUUUGAGUUAUCUGGUGCAGUUCUUAUUAAAUCCUACUUAGCAAUGUAGCAGUUGUUAUUAGUGGAUACAAUGAAGUGGUUAUCCCUGUAAUUUUUCCUUCAAGGUAUGUGAAUGACAUAUCUUAAGUCUUAAUCUUUCAUCUUGAGUUUUGAAACUAAUAUGUCAGCUAUUCGUGAUGUUAUUAAGUUCAUUAUCAUUAAAACUAUGAAAACUGUUCCCUUUAGUCUACGUACUGGAUCUCAAAUAACAAAACUUCUUUCAGUUUUGAUGAUGAUAAAGAGACUAGCUUAGCCUCGUUUUCACCAGAUUAAGUUUGUUUCCAUGUCUGUUUUUGUUUCUUGCUGUUUAGUUUUGUUUAAAAUCUGGACAUACUGAAACAAUUCAAGAUUGCCAGGCAAAAAAAAGAGUCGAGAUUCAGGCUACUGUAGUGGUGGUUGAUACACUAGAAAAAAAUGAAUUUAAACCUUCACUACAACACUUGGUCAAUUAUCUGACUUCUAUGAACGAGACUCCUAAUCCAUCUAAGCACUGGCAAAUGUUCUUCAGGGUGGAAAAGCAUUGAUGAAUAUGGUGUCCGCCAAAGGUUUAUGGCCCUGUUUGACAGUAGGUUUUAUUGUUGUUCGUCUGCAUGCUCUUCGAUUUAAGCAGUCUUCUCGAUUACUGGAGAACACAAGGAUUAAGUCCUGCUUCCACUUAUGAUGUGGGAUGAAGGUUUUCUGUGUAGCUCUGACCAAACUACAACCCCUCCAAAGUCAGAUGCUGGCAUUUAAGUUCGUUCUUCAUCAGUUUUAAUGCCAAGUAUUCAUCAGUUUUAUGUAUCCAACCUAGUCAACUAAGUUCCAAGUCUUUUCAUCAGGUGAAUGGCAAGGGAUGUUGGGGUUCAUAUGAUUUACAUAUAGAUAAAAACUCAAUUUUUCCUCCCAUAGCAGUUACUUCCAUGUACUUCUAGAAUUAUGAAUAUCAUAUAAUUAGUUGAUCAGGCAGUACUAUUAUGAAAUACAAUCUACUGUAUAAAGUGCUUAUUAACUAAAUUUAAUCUACUUCCUCUGAUUUAUGCCAAUGAUUUUUUUAAGAUGGUGCUACAUAUUUGUUCGUUGGUGAUGGACCUCAACAAUCCGGCGUUUCCAAUAUGUUGGUGUCUGAUCGAGGUAGGAACUAAAGUAUUCUUGAAGAGCCUACAGAAUCAUAACGGAGAUGCAGUUCUUGCUACAGUUGUAAGUUGUAAUCCUAAAUUUAAACUUGAUGGUGCUGAACUUACAAAUGAAUAAUGGGAAGUGCAUGUCGAUACGGCACUUGUGAAAACUUAAGUCUUGGUACGAAGUUGCAAAAGCUGCAAUAUUCGUGGUAAUGCAGAAAAACAAAGAUUGUACGACCUUCAACCCUUUGUACGUUCAAAGGAUGAAUGGAUGAUAUGGGUAUGUGGCAAGUACACUACAAUGAUGAUGAUGAUGUUCCUGUUCCUGAUGAUGAUGAUGAUGGAUGUUUUCAGUUUUAGUUUAGUUGUAGGGAUGUUCCUGUUAGAUGAUCUUCCUUGUUCAAGUGUUUAGUUGUAGUGAUGUUGUUGGAUGCUUUCAGUGUAAGUUUAGUUGUCAAAUAAUUAUGUAGAUUAUGCAUCACA